CCUAAAUAUCCCAUCUCUCAAUAAUGAAUAGAACUCCAUCUUUCUAAAAUUAGAGUCCAAUCUCUCCAUAACAAGAAGCCCUAUCUCUCUAUACAAGUCAGCAUACAUGGGCUAUUUCCCUGUUAUAACAGCCAGCAUUCUCCCUAUAGACGGGCUAGCUCCGUGUUAUAACUGGCAGCAUUUGCCCUAUAGAUGUGCUAGCUCCCUGUUAUAACUGGCACCAUUCUCCCUAUAGAUGAGCUAGCUUCAUGUUAUAA